rnacentral:rRNA from 1 species
GAUGAACGCUGGCGGCGUGCCUAAUACAUGCAAGUCGAGCGAACGGACGAGAAGCUUGCUUCUCUGAUGUUAGCGGCGGACGGGUGAGUAACACGUGGAUAACCUACCUAUAAGACUGGGAUAACUUCGGGAAACCGGAGCUAAUACCGGAUAAUAUUUUGAACCGCAUGGUUCAAAAGUGAAAGACGGUCUUGCUGUCACUUAUAGAUGGAUCCGCGCUGCAUUAGCUAGUUGGUAAGGUAACGGCUUACCAAGGCAACGAUGCAUAGCCGACCUGAGAGGGUGAUCGGCCACACUGGAACUGAGACACGGUCCAGACUCCUACGGGAGGCAGCAGUAGGGAAUCUUCCGCAAUGGGCGAAAGCCUGACGGAGCAACGCCGCGUGAGUGAUGAAGGUCUUCGGAUCGUAAAACUCUGUUAUUAGGGAAGAACAUAUGUGUAAGUAACUGUGCACAUCUUGACGGUACCUAAUCAGAAAGCCACGGCUAACUACGUGCCAGCAGCCGCGGUAAUACGUGGGUGGCAAGCGUUAUCCGGAAUUAUUGGGCGUAAAGCGCGCGUAGGCGGUUUUUUAAGUCUGAUGUGAAAGCCCACGGCUCAACCGUGGAGGGUCAUUGGAAACUGGAAAACUUGAGUGCAGAAGAGGAAAGUGGAAUUCCAUGUGUAGCGGUGAAAUGCGCAGAGAUAUGGAGGAACACCAGUGGCGAAGGCGACUUUCUGGUCUGUAACUGACGCUGAUGUGCGAAAGCGUGGGGAUCAAACAGGAUUAGAUACCCUGGUAGUCCACGCCGUAAACGAUGAGUGCUAAGUGUUAGGGGGUUUCCGCCCCUUAGUGCUGCAGCUAACGCAUUAAGCACUCCGCCUGGGGAGUACGACCGCAAGGUUGAAACUCAAAGGGAUUGACGGGGACCCGCACAGGCGGUGGAGCAUGUGGUUUAAUUCGAAGCAACGCGAAGAACCUUACCAAAUCUUGACAUCCUUUGACAACUCUAGAGAUAGAGCUUUCCCCUUCGGGGGACAAAGUGACAGGUGGUGCAUGGUUGUCGUCAGCUCGUGUCGUGAGAUGUUGGGUUAAGUCCCGCAACGAGCGCAACCCUUAAGCUUAGUUGCCAUCAUUAAGUUGGGCACUCUAAGUUGACUGCCGGUGACAAACCGGAGGAAGGUGGGGAUGACGUCAAAUCAUCAUGCCCCUUAUGAUUUGGGCUACACACGUGCUACAAUGGACAAUACAAAGGGCAGCGAAACCGUGAGGUCAAGCAAAUCCCAUAAAGUUGUUCUCAGUUCGGAUUGUAGUCUGCAACUCGACUACAUGAAGCUGGAAUCGCUAGUAAUCGUAGAUCAGCAUGCUACGGUGAAUACGUUCCCGGGUCU